rnacentral:rRNA from 1 species
CCUACGGGAGGCAGCAGUGGGGAAUUUUGGACAAUGGGCGCAAGCCUGAUCCAGCAAUGCCGCGUGAGUGAAGAAGGCCUUCGGGUUGUAAAGCUCUUUUGUCAGGGAAGAAACGGUGGAGGUUAAUACCUUCUGCUAAUGACGGUACCUGAAGAAUAAGCACCGGCUAACUACGUGCCAGCAGCCGCGGUAAUACGUAGGGUGCAAGCGUUAAUCGGAAUUACUGGGCGUAAAGCGUGCGCAGGCGGUUGUGCAAGACAGAUGUGAAAUCCCCGGGCUCAACCUGGGAAUUGCAUUUGUGACUGCACGGCUAGAGUGUGUCAGAGGGGGGUAGAAUUCCACGUGUAGCAGUGAAAUGCGUAGAGAUGUGGAGGAAUACCGAUGGCGAAGGCAGCCCCCUGGGAUAACACUGACGCUCAUGCACGAAAGCGUGGGGAGCAAACAGGAUUAGAUACCCUGGUAGUCCACGCCCUAAACGAUGUCUACUAGUUGUCGGGUCUUAAUUGACUUGGUAACGCAGCUAACGCGUGAAGUAGACCGCCUGGGGAGUACGGUCGCAAGAUUAAAACUCAAAUGAAUUGACGGCUGAGACGNGCGAGGACGACACGAGGGAGGAGG